GAUGAACGCUGGCGGCGUGCCUAAUACAUGCAAGUCGAGCGAACAGACGAGGAGCUUGCUCCUCUGACGUUAGCGGCGGACGGGUGAGUAACACGUGGAUAACCUACCUAUAAGACUGGGAUAACUUCGGGAAACCGGAGCUAAUACCGGAUAAUAUAUUGAACCGCAUGGUUCAAUAGUGAAAGACGGUUUUGCUGUCACUUAUAGAUGGAUCCGCGCCGCAUUAGCUAGUUGGUAAGGUAACGGCUUACCAAGGCAACGAUGCGUAGCCGACCUGAGAGGGUGAUCGGCCACACGGGAGCUAAGACACGGACCAGACACCUAAGGGAGGCAGAAGUAGGGAAUCUUCCGAAAGGGGCGAAAGCCUGACGGAGCAACGCCGAGUGAGUGAUGAAGGUCUUAGGAUCGUAAAACUCUGUUAUGAGGGAAAAAAAAAUGUGUAAGUAACUAUGCACGUCUUGACGGUACCUAAUCAGAAAGCCACGGCUAACUACG
rnacentral:rRNA from 1 species